CCCUUAGACGUUCUGGGCCGCACGCGCGCUACACUGACCAGUGCAACAAGCAUCCGUCCUUGGCCGACAGGCCCGGGCAAUCUUUGAACGCUGGUCGUGAUGGGGAUAGACUUUUGCAAUUUUUGGUCUUCAACGAGGAAUUCCUAGUAAACGCAAGUCAUCAACUUGCAUUGAUUACGUCCCUGCCCUUUGUACACACCGCCCGUCGCUCCUACCGAUUGAGUGUGUUGGUGAGGAGUUUGGAUUGGCCUCGGAAGGUGGUUCGCCACCGUCCGUAGCUGAGAAGUUCUCAAAACCGCCCCACUUAGAGGAAGGAGAAGUCGUAACA
rnacentral:rRNA from 1 species